GACGUAGGUGGCGAACGUUAUCCGGAAUUAUUGGGCGUAAAGGGUGCGUAGGUGGCCUGACAAGUUAUCAGUGGCAAAUCGAGGCUCAACCUCGUGGAAACUGGUAAUACUGUUCGGCUUGAGUACAGGAGAGGUUAACGGAACUCUAUGUGGAGCGGUAAAAUGCACAGAUAUAUGGAAGAACAUCAAUAAAGGCGAAGGCAGUUAACUAGUCUGUUACUGACGCUGAGGCACGAAAGCGUGGGGAGCAAACAGG
rnacentral:rRNA from 1 species